UACGUAGGGUGCGAGCGUUAAUCGGAAUUACUGGGCGUAAAGUGUGCGCAGGCGGCCGAGCAAGUCGAGUGUGAAAGCCCCGAGCUUAACUUGGGAACUGCGCUCGAAACUACUUGGCUAGAGUGUGGCAGAGGGAGGUGGAAUUCCACGUGUAGCGGUGAAAUGCGUAGAUAUCGAGAGGAACACCUGCGGCGAAGGCGGGUUGCUGGGCUGACACUGACGCUGAGGCGCGAAAGCUAGGGGAGCGAACGGG
rnacentral:rRNA from 1 species